AACGAACGCUGGCGGCAUGCCUAACACAUGCAAGUCGAACGAGACCUUCGGGUCUAGUGGCGCACGGGUGCGUAACGCGUGGGAACCUGCCUUUAGGUUCGGAAUAACAGUGAGAAAUUACUGCUAAUACCGGAUGAUGUCUUCGGACCAAAGAUUUAUCGCCUUUAGAUGGGCCCGCGUUGGAUUAGCUAGUUGGUGGGGUAAAGGCCUACCAAGGCGACGAUCCAUAGCUGGUCUGAGAGGAUGAUCAGCCACACUGGGACUGAGACACGGCCCAGACUCCUACGGGAGGCAGCAGUGGGGAAUAUUGGACAAUGGGCGAAAGCCUGAUCCAGCAAUGCCGCGUGAGUGAUGAAGGCCUUAGGGUUGUAAAGCUCUUUUACCCGAGAUGAUAAUGACAGUAUCGGGAGAAUAAAGCUCCGGCUAACUCCGUG
rnacentral:rRNA from 1 species